CGAUGAUAUGGAUAAGUAGGAGGAGUGCCAUGGAUCUGCAGGGAAAGGAGGGCGACGCCCUCGGCGGGCGUCCGAGCAGGAAGCCGGCAGGGAGCACGUCAUCGUAGGCAUCAAGGGAGCCAUGGACAAGCCGCCAGGAGGAGAAAGCUCCCAGUUUGUGGAGGAGACUAUGUGACAGGUGUGUUUCUUCCUGUUUUUCUAACCCCUUUUCUCAUCUUUCCAUGAAGACCUGCAAAAUUUUCAAGUUUUUCAGGUGGUGUUUUGGAAUCUAGAUUGAUUUAGUAUUGUAUGUUGUGUGAUGUGCCCUUGCCAAGAAUAUUUGAUGUGUGUGAUGACACGAGCAAUUGUAGAGGAGUGAACACCAUGCUCGAUUAGUGGACUGCCGCUUGAGAAGAAGCUUGUCAUUUGUCUCUUCGAGCCGCGGCGGAUAGGGGCCUUCGAAGAACUUGGGGUUUGACAUAGCCAUCGAGGAAGUGCAGGAUACAAACCAAGUGUAAUCAAAGAGGAUAUGGAUUCAGUACAGACAUGAGUGAAGGAAUGUUACUCCAAUUUGGAUCUUGGAGAAUGUUUUCUCAGUGUGGUUCAGGUUAAAUUGUUGUCCUACUGUUCCUGCUCAACCUCCUAAUGUUCUAUGUCUUCGCCGUGCCUUCUUCCAACUUCUCUAUUGGUUUUCUCUUCACACCGAUGUCUCUGCGCCAUUUGGCGCAACGGGUCCACU